ensembl:lncRNA
CAUGAUGGAUAAAGAUGCUAAGACUACAAGGUUGAAAUAUCCAGAAGAUGAAACAAAAGCAUCAUGUAGUUCUGAUUCUACUUCUGUAAAAGAUUAUAAUAGAUACCCGACUGUAGUAAGUGAAAACAGUACCUACAGAUCGAAAAUGUUCGUAAGACAUAAUUUAGCCAAUAUGUGUAAUAAUCUUGAUUCAAAUAAAUAUAUUAAUAAUAUGAACACUAUUACUAGUAAUGGUGAUACAGACAGUAGUUCUAAUUGCACUUUAAAAGUUAAUAAGAGUAAUAACGCAAAGUUACAUUCAUUAAAAAGCAACAAUUGUAUGAAACAUGAAGAUAAAAGCAUACCAGAUGUAUGUGUAAAUACUAGUAAUGGUAGUAGUGACACUGGUGAUGACAUUAGUAAUAACACUAUAAGUGACAAAAAUAAUAAUAAAGAUAGUAUUGGGUCAAUGCAAACCUAUAGUAGUAAGCAUAAUGUAAUGAAUAUAUACAGUGGUAUGUUACAAAACAAAUAUAAUAUUUACGAUAGUAUGAAGGGUUGUGUUAUUAUAGAUAAGAAUGACUCAUCUAAUAUUGUAAGUAACAACACGAGUACUACUAAAUGUAACAAUAACAACACGGAUAUUAGUGUUAGCAGUAAUAGUAGUAGUAGUUGUAGUUGUAGUAGUUGUAGUAGUAGUUGUAGUAGUAGUAGUAAUAGUGGUAAAACUAAGAACUCAGAAAAAAAACCGUAUGAAGACAAAUGGUUUAACGUUUUCAGUAAAUUUAAAAAUAGUAUAAAAGAAAAUGUAAUAGGAAAAAAAAUAUGGCGAUAUCAAAAAUCUAAAUCAAAUACGAGUAAUGAAGAGAAUUCAAACAAGCGUGAACGUACAGGAAGUAAUAAGAAAUCGAAAAUUUCAAUGAAUGGUAACCAUAAUAGUAAUAGUAACACCAAUAUAACUGAUAUAAAUAAAAGUAAUAUAAAGAGAGGUGGAGAUGGUAAUGUCAAUAAUGAAAAUACUACAAAUAAUAGUUACGUCGGUGAUAGUAGUAAUAGUAAUAAUAGUAGUAGUAAAAGUAGUAAAAAUAGUAGUAGUAGUAGUAGUAGUAGUAGUAGUAGUAAUAAUAAUAAUAAUAAUAAUGAUAUAACGGGUGAAUCGAAAGAAGAAGGUGUUGUUACUGCAAUGGAUCCAUGUACAACUAAGAACACAACAUCAACAGAACAUGCAUGUAAUAAAUAUGAUGAUAAUAAUAAUUUAAUAAAUGGAAACGAUUCAAAAGUGGCAGACCACAUUAGUAAUGUAUUGUGCAAUGGUUCUAAUUGUAAUAACAAGAAUGAAGACAUGUUUAGUUUUAAAAACUUGCAAAAGGUUUAUCCUUACAAAUCACACCCUGGACUACAAUUUCCAAACGAAUAUACUAAUUGCACUAAUAAACAGAAUAUAAAUGAUUAUAAUGAUAAGAACAACUGUUUAAAAAAGUAUAGUGAAAAAAACAAUGAUAGCUUAAAUGUAAAGGUUUAUACAAGUAGUAAUGAUUUUGAUAUGUGUAAUGACGGUAUAGAACGAAAAUUCAUUAAAGCUAAAGCUAUUACUAAUAAACCUGUUUUGAAUGACACCACGAAUUCGACUGACGUAUGUAAUCUUACUAUACUUUCAAAAAAUGAUAAAAAAGUUUAUGAGGAUAAUGUUCAUAACACCAUUGAACAAAAUAGUACAAACGAUGAUGUAGGUAUUAAUAUUA